AUUGAACGCUGGCGGCAGGCCUAACACAUGCAAGUCGAACGAGUGGCGGACGGGUGAGUAAUGUCUGGGAAACUGCCUGAUGGAGGGGGAUAACUACUGGAAACGGUAGCUAAUACCGCAUACCAUCAGAUGUGCCCAGAUGGGAUUAGCUAGUUGGUGGGGUAACGGCUCACAAAGGCAACGAUCCCUAACUGGUCUGAGAGGAUGACCAGCCACACUGGAACUGAGACACGGUCCAGACUCCUACGGGAGGCAGCAGUGGGGAAUAUUGCACAAUGGGCGAAAGCCUGAUCCAGCCAUGCCGAGUGUAUGAAGAAGGCCUUCGGGGUGUAAAGUACUGUCGGCGGAGAGGCAUUGUCCGCAGAAGAAGCACCGGCUAACUCCGUGCCAGCAGCCGCGGUAAUUC
rnacentral:rRNA from 1 species